GAAGUCUCGGUUUCAACGAACCAAAUCUCGUCGAAAUCCGAUGCUCCUACGUCGCGUACGAGCUGAAAUACUAACAGUCGACGACAAGAUCCUGCGAAUCAGCACUUAAGCUCGAAUUGAUGAUAUCCGAAGUAUGCGCAGCAAUUCCACAGAGCACUCACCUCGAUAGAUCCUCAAGAGUCGGCGCAAAGUCGAGGACGACGGAAAUCCACGCCCGCCCAAGCUCGUCACAGCACCAAUACGACACAACGUGCGCCCGAACGGCUCCGCAGCACCACGUCGGCGACGAAACUCCACCCGAACUCCACCUUGCACACACUCGGUUCUAGAGAGAGAGAG
rnacentral:lncRNA from 1 species